UUCGUCAACCCAUCUAAACUAUAAAAAUGAUAAUAAUAAAAAUGCACCACCAAUACAGAGGAAUGCAAUGUUACGAAAAAUACUUUCGCACGCUUCGGUACGCACGCUUGUAUGUUGUCUGCUAAUGGCUUCAAGUUGUUUAGUUUUAGCAACGCAAGUCCUGCGCUCCUAUUUAUAGUAGGAGAACUAUUAUUCGAACGUAGUCAAGACAUCGAUAUCACGUCUUAGUGCUUGGCGGUAUUCAAGUUGUGAAAGCUUUGGAUUCCACUUAACAUCAUUACUUGAAAGCGAGCGAGCUUUAGUGUUUGGUCGGUAUUGUCUGCAAGGUCUGGACUUGAUGAGUGAGGAUACGCGGCCCACGUCAUUUUUGGGACAUCUUUACUACUCUAAAUUGGCCACCGAAAAUAGUUUGCGACCCAACAAGUGGUCUCUGCAAUCCGUAGAGACCAUAAUGUCAAUGUCCAGCUCACAAUUUACAAUACUAUUGAGACUGUCACUUAAUUUGGCGACUUAGAUGAUGACGCAGACUUGGACUACGCUUCUAGACCUGCCCCACAAACCGGCACGCGCUAAUGCUUCGUGGCAGAAAUGGUGGUAUCCACACAUGUUGACGUAAAACAAGCCGUACUCUGAGGAAUGAGAGGAGACAAUUCUCAAUGGAGAUAUUUGCGGAGAUAUAUGUUGGUACUACAAAUGAGUUAUUGCAGCCGCUACGGAUGGUCGGUGUCAUAUGCGCGUAUUGUCUGAUCACCAUAGCGAUCCAACCUUGUUGAUAAGGCAUGAGAAUUACAAUUUCAUGGCGCCGUUAAAACUGUUCUCACUGUUUGGGUUAUGUGCAUAGCGUGUACCCCGAUUGUCAUCAUCCACAACUGAACCUCGAAAGCAAAGAUGCAACCAAAUCUGAUCAAAGUAUUCCAAGUUUUCUCUGACCCCGUUUUCGAUACUUUUACCCUAAACCAGUUAAAGAACAUGAGACGGAUGCACUCAGAUCUAUGCCUACGCAGAAGUCAAGUAUAACCUGCCAGUCCUGCCACUAAUAAUUGGGGUUUAAAAAAAAUGUGAUAAAUGGAAAGAUCAUAAAUUAGUUUUAUAACAAAACAAUUUUUUUUUUUUUCGCAGUCACUCAAAAAUUUUCAAAAUAAAAAUUAAUUUUUGAAUCCAGUUCCGAAGACACGCCGACAGCUCCCAAUCAAACCCGAGCGCGUGUGACGACAUAAUGUUAGUUUUGCCUCAUUGCAGUUCAUAUAGAAAUAAUACGUAGUGUUUUGAUCUGUUUAAUUUUGUUGUCAUUGUUAAAUAUUCAAAUAUUUAUAUUGAAAACCAGCUGACCCGGCAGACUUCGUAGUGCCUCAAUCGAUAAAUAAAAGACUUAAGGUUUUGUAUAAAAUAAACUUAAAACAAACAAAAGGAAUCCGUCCGAGGGGGGACAUAUGAGUCGUCUAUUAUCAAAGGUGGUAAUCUGUGCAUUCGGACAAAAAAAAAUUAUUGAUAUGUCAAUACAGAUUGAUUUGAAUAUAAUCGUCUCCUUCAAAGAAUACGGUUCAAAACCUGCAUUAAAUAAAGGUUAAUAGUUAACCUGUUAUUUAUCUAAGAUGUCGUUCAGAGGAGUUUUGUGACUGCCAAUGGAAUACAAAGUCAAUAAUUCGUUUUUCUGAUUUACCAAUAAUUGUCCAAAAGUCACAUUGCCGGCUUUGAUAAUAGUCGACUCAUAUCAAAGGAAAAACAAAAUUGUUAUUUUUAUUUAAUUCUGAGCAUUUUCAUAUUUAUCUAACCUUUGAAACCUUCUUUGGAUUUCCACAAAUAAUUCAAGACCAAAAUUAGCCAAAUCGGUCCAGCCGUUCUCGAGUUUUACCGAGACUAACGAACAACAAUUCAUUUUUAUAUAUAUAUAUAGAUAGAUAGAUGUCGAAUCUCAAAAGCGAUCGUUCUUGUAUUGCACCAUUAUGCAUGAAUACUACAAAAACAACUCCUGAAAAAAUGUUUUUAAAUGUUUCCCAAGAUAACAAAAGUCGAAAUAAAUUGUUUCAAGCAGUGCACCGUGAUAAUCCUAAAACAAAAUCGUUUUUUUUGUUGUGAAAAUCAUUUCGACCUGAAAAAUGUUAUGGAAAAUUAUAUUUAUUAUACACAACGAUGGGAGGUAAAGCAAAGAUUAAAAUUGAUGUGGUACCACACAAGUUUGACUGUCAACCUAAUCGUAAAAGACAAGGCACUACAACGGUUCUUAGAUCAGCUGCAGAAAAACGACGGAGACGACAAAUUAUCCAAGAAAUUUUAAGUGAAUCGUCAGAAAAUAUGGAAAUUGAUAAUUCUCAAGAACUAAACAUUGAUGCCGUAUCAGCCAAUACUGUUGAAAAUAUUGGUGUUGAUUUUGAUUAAUAAUAUCAGAUUUUGCCUUAAUAAAUCCUUUAUCGCACAUAGCUAAUCGUCAUAACAACUCGUUUUUUAACAAUAAUAAUUAUAUAAUAAUAAUUUUUUAUAUUAUUGUCUAGUCAUGUGUAUUAGCCGUAAACGCUGUACUGUUAUUAAAUAGCUAUAACAUUAUGACGUCACCAUAGUAUCAUAUAUAUUAUAAACCGCCAUUAUGGCGCGUUUAUAAGUCACGUGGUUUUUUUUAAAUUCUAUAAUUUUUAAUUCUUUAUAAUUAAUUGAAAUUUUUUUUUUAGUUUUUUGCAUUAAAUAUCCAGAUUAUUAAUAAUAGAGUUUUGAAAUACAAUAAAAAAUCGAUAAUAUUUUUUUCAAAA